AACACUGUUAACCUGCGGUACCUGCGGAAGGAUCAUUACUGAGUUCCACUGGACUCCCACCCUGUGUGAUUCGACUCGCGAACCACUUGUUGCCUCGGCAGAAGACAGUGGUUGAGCCUGCCCCCAGUGGUGCGGGCUCCCAUUAGCUGCCGGGCGAGCAAAAACUCUUUUUGUAAUUGUUGGCAUCUCUGAGUAGCUUUUGCAAUAAGUCAAAACUUUUAACAAUGGAUCUCAGAUCGG
rnacentral:misc_RNA from 1 species